rnacentral:lncRNA from 1 species
GGCUCAUUCUAUCCAUCCACUACUUUCUUCUCGUCCAUUCUCGAACGAAGAAACCCUAGAUGUUGACUUCUAAUCUUCUUCCCUCUCUUCCACAGAUUUGCAAAUUAGUCAUGUCUCUAUCUAAGAAAUUCGAAUUUUCAGAAUACCCUUUUGCUCUUCUUCUGCAUUGUUGGUUGACGAUCUUCUUUUUGUAUUGUUAGCCGUUCAAUUUUCUCUAUUCUGUUUGUUCAAACUUGUGUGAAUGCAAAAUGAAUAUAUUUACCACUCAAAACCCAGUACUUUUAGUUUUAAUUUUUAAAUUAUCAAAAAUUAAUUUUUGCAUGUGUGUGCAUAAUUAUUAGUAGGGAUUUGAAUGGAUUAUUUUCGGAGGUUGAAUUGAAAUCUAUUGGAUGAAGAAGAAGUCGGACUGUUGAGGUGUGUGAGCUUAGGUGCCAAAAUUGAGUGAAGGGCUUUCUUCUUUUGGUAGAAUGCUGCUGAACAAAUCACAUUCUCCUUCUUCACGGCAGAAUCCAGUUAAUACUUAUUAUUAAGAGCUUUCGAACGUUUCAUAAUUAUUUUUGAUAAAUCUUUUUCUGUGCUUUUUUCAGGAAGUAAAAAGUCCUCCAACCUCUACCGAUGGUAUGACUUUUCUUCGUGUUAUGUAACUUAUGUUUGAGAAUUUGCUGAUGUGAAAAUUUAUCAUGUUUCGAAUAAUGAAUUAACUAUGAUUAUACCACUGAAGAUGAUGAAGACAGCGACGAAGAGCGAUAGAUGAGGAGCUCAAACGCGACUGUUUGCAAACGAGUUUGGCAGAAACUCACACAAUCGAAGUAACCCAUUAUAGAAAGAAUAUUUUUCUUUUGUUUGGACCUUGUUUCUAAUUUGGGUUUUAUAAAUCUUUUUUGAAUGUGGGUCUGAAAUUAUUAUUUAUUUUUUUAAUCUUUUGUCAGAUUUUUUAUUUGUCUUCAUUUGGAGUUUGUCCAUGUUUUGGAGGGAGUUGUGCAGGUCUGAUUGUGUGUGGAAAGCUCUAUGCAAAGAUGGUUGUUAUGCACGUGAUUUUGAUAAAGAUUCUUCAGCUUUCCAAGAUCAAAAUUUCGAGCUUGACCAGUGAAUGAAUUCCAAUUUAAAGGUCUUUUAUCUAUUUCUAUAAUUUGGGUUUUGUAUUAUGUUUGAGCACUUUUACUUUCUUUAUUUAGUAUAUAUCUUGUUCUUUAGGUGAAUGAAUUAUCACUUUAUUGUAAUUGAGAUUUUAUGUUAUGUUUAAGUUUUGUUUUAAACGUGUAAUGAAAAAAUUAGCAAUAAAUAAGGUCCACCUUUUGUAAUUUAUUUUCUUGGGUGUGAAGAAAUUUUCUGGAAUCCUUGAAAAAAAAGGAUUAUGUUCCCUAAUAUUUCUUGCUUUGUACAGAUUUCAUACAUUCUUGUGGAUUUACUAAUAUGAUGGGCAUAAGAGGAUACAUUAAUGACUUCAGGAAAAAGAAGAUGAAGUUUGAUCCUACUGCAUACUUGAGUACAUACUAUGAGUCAGUAUCUCAUUUACCAACGGGCUACAUGUGAAGUUCCCACAUUGUGCCAAAGCAAAAUGGUAAGCGUGCCAUUUAGAAUUGCAUGACUAAUAUUCAUGGAGGCAAUAAUUUUUCAUUGCCGAGAAGCUAAAUUAUGUAGAAAUCUUGUUUCGGUCAACAUUUUCCAUAUCUCAAUCUUAUAUAGGACUAAUCCUUUCAACUAAUCUGCAGACUGUGGCCGUCUGGUUGAUAUUGUCGACUCUGGCCAUCUGGUUGAUAUUGUUGGUUAUUUUUUUUUAAACUAGCAAUCAAAAUGUCAACCUCCUGAAGAAUUUGCUGAAUGGAUGCAAAAGGGAUUUAGGCCCUUCAACUAAGUUCGUAGAAGAAAUUUCUAAUUAUUAUUAGUAUUUUCACUUAGAAGCAAUUUUUAGUACACAAUGGAACUUUUGUCUCAUAAGAUUUUUUCACAUAUAAGUAAAUUUUUUAGUUAUUACAUUAUUGUUUUACUUAUAGUUGAAAUUUUAGUUGUAAGUCGGAAAUAGAGGAAGCUUUGGAUUUUCUACAUUCAAGGGACAAUAUAGGAUGAAAUAAUGGAUGAAUGCACAUUUACUCUGCUCCACAGCAGGCGACCCAAUGCCCAUGGUGGACUCCGGUUUUACCCCAACACUUUUUCCAGCCCAUCUCUAAUAACUCGCAUGAGAGCCUCUUUCUUGGAGGUAAGGAUGAAUAAAUUUUAAGUUUUUUGUGAUUUCUUAAAAAAGUCCAAGUUUACACUCAAGAAUUAUGUAGAGAGCAGUUGAAUGUUAGGAAAUUUAAACUUUAUGAUAUCAUGCGUGUGAUUCUGAAAUGGAUGUAUCAAAAUGUGCAUAAUUGUAUGUUCUAUGCGGGAUGGAUAUUGGCCUUCAUGGAGAAACGGUUGAGAAGUUAUUAUAGAGAAGCGGGAAGAAUAAUCGAAUUCAACAGAGGGACGGUCCAAUUUAAGAGAUGAUUUAAGUUUGCAUGAAGUUGAAAGUGUUGAAGAAGAUAUUGAGACUUCUUGGAAACUCGACUUUCCGAUUGAGGAAUGCUCUUUUCAUACUAAUAAAGAGAAGCUAAAGGUCUUGUCUGAUGAAGCAUUUGCAGAUUUUUUAUGAGAAAAGUUUGCAAGCAAAUGCAUUAGGCCUAUUCCGGCAUUGUGUGGUGAUGGAACAGUGGUGGACUUGUUUAAACUUUUUUGGGUAGUGAGGAAAAUAGGCAGAUCUAAUGCUGUCUCGAGGAAAAAUAUAUGGGGCUUUGUCACAAAGGAACGUAAGUUGCUUUUUGGGGUCAUUCCAUCCAUUAGGUUGAUUUAUUUGAAGUACUUGAACCAACUGGAUCAACGGUUGUGGCAAAUAUUUAAUGAUAGGGCUGUAGAGGGUGGACAGAGUGGAGUCUUGCAAAAAUUAGAUUUAUUGUCUUGGGAGUUGGAGAUAAAGCUACGCUUAACCCAACGAGAGUAGUUGCUAAAUUUUUAUCUUCCUACAUGCUAAGAUUAAGAAGAUGCAGUUUUAAAAGUUCAGUAUUUCGUAGGUGUUACAUGAAGGCUUUAGAGGAUGCCCUCUGUAAACGUGUAAUUAUUACUCGUGAUGAAACCAUCGCCAAAUAUUUAGACCCAAAAACUGCAGCUGGCAACAGAGAUGCUUUGGCCAAAAUUGUCUACUGAAGGUUGUUUUUCUGGUAAGUUUCAUUUUUAUGCUUGAAGGAGAUGCUCAUUA